rnacentral:rRNA from 1 species
CCUACGGGUGGCAGCAGUCGAGAAUCAUUCACAAUGGGGGAAACCCUGAUGGUGCGACGCCGCGUGGGGGAAUGAAGGUCUUCGGAUUGUAAACCCCUGUCAUGUGGGAGCAAAUUAAAAAGAUAGUACCACAAGAGGAAGAGACGGCUAACUCUGUGCCAGCAGCCGCGGUAAUAAAGAGGUCUCAAGCGUUGUUCGGAAUCACUGGGCGUAAAGCGUGCGUAGGCUGUUUCGUAAGUCGUGUGUGAAAGGCGCGGGCUCAACCCGCGGACGGCACAUGAUACUGCGAGACUAGAGUAAGGGAGGGGGAACCGGAAUGCUCGGUGUAGCAGUGAAAUGCGUAGAUAUCGAGAGGAACACUCGUGGCGAAGGCGGGUUCCUGGACAUUAACUGACGCUGAGGCACGAAGGCCAGGGGAGCGAAAGGGAUUAGAUACCCGUGUAGUC